rnacentral:rRNA from 1 species
GGAAAGCUUGUUCCCCGGAGUAACCGAAGCAAGGGAAAGUAACGCGUAUCCAACCUACCUUGAGUGAGGGAUAACCCGUCGAAAGUCGGCUAAUACCUCAUGGGAUUGUCUGCAGGCAUCCAACGACGAUUAAAGAUUUGAUCGGUCAGGGAUGGGGUGCGUCUGAUUAGCUUGUUGGCGGGGUAACGGCCCCACCAAGGCUACGAUCAGUAGGGGUUCUGAGAGGAAGGUCCCCCCACAUUGGAACUGAGACACGGUCCAAACUCCUACGGGAGGCAGCAGUGAGGAAUAUUGGUCAAUGGGCGGGAGCCUGAACCAGCCAAGUAGCGUGCAGGAAGACGGCCCUAUGGGUUGUAAACUGCUUUUAUGCGGGGAUAAAGUGAGGGACGUGUCCUUCAUUGCAGGUACCGCAUGAAUAAGGACCGGCUAAUUCCGUGCCAGCAGCCGCGGUAAUACGGAAGGUCCUGGCGUUAUCCGGAUUUAUUGGGUUUAAAGGGAGCGUAGGCCGUGGAUUAAGCGUGUUGUGAAAUGCAGGUGCUCAACGUCUGCACUGCAGCGCGAACUGGUCCACUAGAGUGUGCGCAACGCAGGCGGAAUUCGUCGUGUAGCGGUGAAAUGCUUAGAUAUGACGAAGAACUCCGAUUGCGAAGGCAGCCUGCGGGAGCACAACUGACGCUGAAGCUCGAAAGUGCGGGUAUCGAACAGG